rnacentral:rRNA from 1 species
GCCCUAUACCCGUUAAGGCAUGAUUGCCUGUACCCGAAACCGACACAGGUGGGGUGGUAGAGAAUACCGAGGGGCGCGAGGUAACUCUCUCUAAGGAACUCGGCAAAAUGGCCCCGUAACUUCGGGAGGAGGGGUGCCACCGCAAGGUGGUCGCAGUGAAGAGGCCCAGGCGACUGUUUACCAAAAACACAGGUCUCCGCUAAGUCGCAAGACGAUGUAUGGGGGCUGACGCCUGCCCAGUGCCGGAAGGUUAAGGAAGCUGGUCAGCGUAAGCGAAGCUGGCGACUGAAGCCCCGGUGAACGGCGGCCGUAACUAUAACGGUCCUAAGGUAGCGAAAUUCCUUGUCGGGUAAGUUCCGACCCGCACGAAAGGCGUAACGAUCUGGGCGCUGUCUCGGAGAGAGGCUCGGCGAAAUAGAAUUGUCUGUGAAGGUGCGGACUACGUGCACCCGGACAGAAAGACCCUAUGAAGCUUUACUGUAGCUUGGUAUUGUGCCCGGGCUCGCAAUGCGCAGGAUAGGUGGGAGGCUUUGAUCAUCGGCUUGCGGGUCGAUGUGAGCCACUGGUGAGAUACCACUCUUUGCGAGCUAGGGUUCUAACGGCCACCCGUGAUCCGGGGGCCGGACAGUAUCAGGUGGGCAGUUUGACCGGGGCGGUCGCCUCCUAAAAGGUAACGGAGGCGCGCAAAGGUUCCCUCAGGCUGGUUGGAAAUCAGCCGACGAGUGUAAAGGCAGAAGGGAGCUUGACUGUGAGACCUACAAGUCGAACAGGGACGAAAGUCGGCCUUAGUGAUCCGACGGUUCUGAGUGGAAGGGCCGUCGCUCAACGGAUAAAAGUUACUCUAGGAUAACAGGCUGAUCUCCCCCAAGAGUUCACAUCGACGGGGAGGUUUGGCACCUCGAUGUCGGCUCAUCGCAACCUGGGGCUGAAGUCGGUCCCAAGGGUUGGGCUGUUCGCCCAUUAAAGCGGUACGCGAGCUGGGUUCAGAACGUCGUGAGACAGUUCGGUCCAUAUCCGGUGCAUGCGCAGGAAUAUUGAGAGGAGUUCUCCCUAGUACGAGAGGACCGGGAGGAACGCACCUCUGGUGUACCAGUUAUCGUGCCAACGGUAAACGCUGGGUAGCCAUGUGCGGAGAGGAUAACCGCUGAAAGCAUCUAAGUGGGAAGCCCACCUCAAGAUGAGUAUUCCCAUGGCAUAAGCCAGUAAGGUCACGGGAAGAACACCCGUUGAUAGGCUCUACGUGUAAGCGCAGUAAUGCGUGAAGCGGAGGAGUACUAAUAGACCGAGGGCUUGAC